GAUGAACGCUGGCGGCGUGCUUAACACAUGCAAGUCGAACGGAGAUUGCUAGAGAAGUUUCGGAUGGAAUUUAGUAAUCUUAGUGGCGGACGGGUGAGUAACGCGUGGGUAACCUGCCUCAUACAGGGGGAUAACACUUAGAAAUAGGUGCUAAAACCGCAUAAGCGCACGAAAUCGCAUGAUUUAGUGUGAAAAACUCCGGUGGUAUGAGAUGGACCCGCGUCUGAUUAGCUAGUUGGUGAGGUAACGGCCCACCAAGGCGACGAUCAGUAGCCGGCCUGAGAGGGUGAACGGCCACAUUGGGACUGAGACACGGCCCAAACUCCUACGGGAGGCAGCAGUGGGGAAUAUUGCACAAUGGGGGAAACCCUGAUGCAGCGACGCCGCGUUAGUGAAGAAGUAUUUCGGUAUGUAAAGCUCUAUCAGCAAGGAAGAUAAUGACGGUACUUGACUAAGAAGCCCCGGCUAACUACGUG
rnacentral:rRNA from 1 species